UACGGGGGGGGCAAGCGUUGUUCGGAAUUACUGGGCGUAAAGGGUUCGUAGGUGGCUCGCUAAGUCAGACGUGAAAUCCCUCAGCUUAACUGGGGAACUGCGUCUGAGACUGGCGAGCUCGAGUGCAGGAGAGGAACGCGGAAUUCCAGGUGUAGCGGUGGAAUGCGCAGAUAUCAGGAGGAACACCGGUGGCGAAGGCGGGAUCCUGGGCCAGUACUGACGCUGAGGAGCGAAAGCGUGGGGAGCAAACAGG
rnacentral:rRNA from 1 species